AGAGAGAGAGAGAGAGAGAGAGAGAGAGAGAGAGAGGGAGAGAUAUGAAGAUGAAAGAAGUCCUUUCAUUUGUGAUUUCUGCUGAUUUGGAAGAUGGCUUCACUGCUCAACUCUUCCCACUAGACUACUUUCUGCAAGCUGCAUGUCUGACCACGAGAGGAAUUGAUGGUUCCGCUGUUAGGGCAGAGAGCACACCCCGAAGAUUUACAUGGGAUCAUCUCAUCUCUGGCUACCUUGUGGAAUGCUACCUGCCUCGCCAUAUCUAAAGGGGAGCCCAUUACAAUUUACAAAUUAAAAGCCAGUGGGAAAGAACACAAUCUUGGCAACUGCCUCUUGGGAAAUCUUACGACUGCACGAGCGCCAUGGAAGAGUGCUUUAAAUGCCAUCGUGGUUCAUCCAAUCUCCUCACAAUUGUAUAGGAGGGCACGUGGCCAAAGCCUUGCAGGGAAGAGGCCAGGGUGCCUGAGCUCCUGAUUGGCUGGGGGGGUCAUGAUGCUAAGCAAGCCACUUAGCCUGCUCCUGCUUCAUGAGGAGCACGCCACAUGCUUCUUUGCACAUUCUUUUAAAUCCUUGUGUGGUUGGCAUUUGGAGAAAUAUCGACUGCAACCAGACGUCGCCAUCCUGAUGACAGCUCCUGAAAUCCCAUCUUUCUCCGUAGCAACAUCACUGUCAGCUUCCCACCCCUGUUAAACACGAGAGCUGUCCCCACCCAAGUUGUGCUCCAAAUAGAAAGAACUGCCAACGUACAUGUUUGGCUGUCUCUUCUAAAGGCCUGGACAAAUAUGCAGGUAGUAAAUAGCCUGAGAGAAA